AUGAAUUUUAUCAAUCCAAUCUCUAUGAAUUUAAUAUUUUUUUAUAUAAUUUUGUAUGUUUCAUUGUUUAUUAUUUCAUAUUAUCAUUCUUUUAAUUGAAAUAUGUUAUUCUUAUCAUCAUCUGAAAAUUGUUUUUAUUCACUGGACUUUCCCAUAUAUAACUGCUCCAUUGUUUUACAUUUUUAGAACCCUAGUUUGUUCUUUCCAGGUCAUUUACUAUGUGGUUUUUAGAUGUGGACAAUAAUAUAGAGGUUAUGAAAUUAUCUGAAUCCAUACUUUUUGAAUAUGUGAAACUCGGAUAAACAUCAAAAUAUCCGUAUCAGAAUCAGUAAAAUGUUAGUAGAAAAUAUUUGAAGGUAUAAAGAGUUGGGCAAGAUGUGUUAGCGGCAAUGAUUUUGAAUGUGAUGAGAAGUAAUAUCUAAGAACAAGUGGUUAGAUACACAAUUAUGUGAAUAGCUGAUAUAGUAGAUACAACAAAAAAAUGAUUGAUGAGAAGGAGAUAGAGAAAGGGAACUUUGGUCCAUUGACCAAUGUGUUUGCGAUCACUUUUUCAAAUUUUGAAGUAAUUGACUACAUUGUACAAUUUAUGUGUAAUCAUGCAUAUAGUUUCUACAUCGAUUCAUCAUACAAUCAUGAGUUUUCAUAUAUCUAGAUCCUAAUUACAAUCAAAUAUAUGUUUGUGAGAGGUUGUAUGUGACUUUGAAUAAAACACAACAUCCUCCAUUAUAUCUCUUUUGAGGAUUUCAGAUAAUUUUGAGGAUUUUUUUAGUUGAAAACACAUAUAUCUAACUAACAUGAUUUAAGUGGAAUUUGGGAAGAUUUUCAAACAAAUCAUUACAACUACUCUAAAUUCACUUAAGAUCAACAAAAUCAUAAAAACUCAAAUCAUUUAAAACAAAUGGUUGGAUACACUUUGAAACUUGCAACUUAUAUUUCGAUUGGUUGUUUUUUUAUAGUCGAUUGUUCUUAAAAAAAAACUAUAUACUUGAUACAUAUAUUAA
rnacentral:sRNA from 1 species